GUGCUGGUGCUGGUGGUAAAGAUAGUAAGUUUUUGUUCUUCCUCUCUGUGACAGUUUAUAUGCAUUCUUGUUCCGUGUAUUUUCUCAAAUUCCUUUGUUUAUUUUAGUCAAGUGAGAAGUUGGAAAAACUGAUUAUGAAAGAUAUGAUACUUUUGGAUUUGGUAAUAAGUUUGGCACUAGGAAGUUAUAACCUUUGAUUGCAAUGGAAUUCCUCAACAAUCUGCUAACACCGUUCAAACUUCCAUAAGAACUAUAUGUUACCCACCCGAUUCCUUGAGUGGCAACAUCUAGAACCGGCAAAGGGCCGGUUCUGUAUCAGGUUCUAGGCUGGAACUGGCGGUUCCUGACCCUUGGUGGGCUUGAAUCGGAACUGGCCCUUGAGUAGCUAGUUCGAACCUGUUACGGUUCGUUCACGGUUUCAAUCUGGUUCCAUUCUGAUUUUGAAGCAGUUCCAGUUUCAGUUUUUGAUGGUUACGGUUCUGGUUGGGCCCUGGUUCAGUCCAAUCCAGUUCAAGACGGUUCUAGUUUCGGUAUGAAUUUUGAUCAACAUUCUUGAAAAAAAUUUAAAUUUAACAAAAUUACAAAUAAAAGAUGAAUAUUCAUUUUUAUUGAUAUAUAUUUGUUACAACAAAGUAUAAAAAUAAAAAUAGAAAAAUUGUUAAAACAUAUAUAUUAUAUAUAAUUUAGCUAUAUAAUUUCUUAAUUAACAUAAAAGUAGUAAUUUAUUCUCCUUAAUUUUAUUUCCAAUAUCACAACAAUUUUAGUUAGCAAUAACAAGAUAUACAUUUACCAUUUAUGAAUCACCAAACUCAACAAUUUUAUUUUAAUUAAAUAAUGCCAUUCUAAUAUUCUUCCAUCUCAAUCUCCAUUUGCAUCAACUUAAUAUAUAUACACUCAUUUUAACUUCUCAAUUCCCAUAAUAUUCAUAAACUUUUCAUAUUUUUUUCCUUAUAUCUAUUUACUAAGAUUCACUAGAAGAUUUCAUCUAAUUUAAAUUACGUAUAAUUUCUCAUAAAUAAUUUAAAAAAUCUAUGAAAAUUUCAGUUUCCACACCAACAUAUCUUACAUAAAAUGCAUGCAUCAACAUAACAUUUAAAAAACUCAUUCUUAUAUAAAUUAUUUUCUCCAUAAAUAAUGAUAAUAGUAGAAGCAAAAUUCAUAAAAAAUUCACCAAUUAAAAAGAAAUCCCUUCUUAAAUAUUUCUACGCCUUAUUCACCAAUUGUAUAUUUUUGAAUUCAUUAAAAUGUUUAAAAAAUAAAAUUUUAAAAAAUUUAAAUCGGGCCUGUUCUGGUUCCGGUUCCCCCCCUUAGAUUGGUUCCGGUCCAGUUCAAGCACCAGAACCAUUGACCUGGUCUAGUUCAUGGUCCGAACUGGACCAUGGCUAGGUCUAGCUGCAUCUACCUAUGAUGCUUUUGUUGGGAGAGAGUCUAUUGAGAAUUGAAGAACUUGGUUUCAGCUUACUCUGGCAUUCUUUUAUUAAUGAUUAUGAAGAAUCAUAAUACAUGCAUUUCUAGCAUCAAACCCUAAAUUGACUUGGGCAACUUGUUAGUUGACAGUUUUUGUUUGGCAUUAUUUUUAUCUUUUUUUUUAGGCAACUUUCCAUUUGAAGCUUAAGUUGGC
rnacentral:misc_RNA from 1 species